GAGAGGAGAGGAGAGGAGAGGAGAGGAGAGGAGAGGAGACAGGAGAGGAGAGUUGGAAUGACAGCCAUCAUUACUCAGACAGGGAACUCCAUGUAAGUCCUGGAUGAUCUUCAGCAUCUGCAGCCAGUGUGUGUGUGUGUGUGUGUGUGUGUGUGUGUGUGUGUGUGUGUGUGUGUCCACUCGUGACAUUUCCAUCACUUCAUUCCAUUACGAACUCCUUUUGGCACGAGGCUGGAGAAGUUGGACCGAUCACACUCAUAAUGAGAAACUCAUAUGUAACCGCUGUUAUUUCAACACAUAAGAGAGAUCCACCUUUCACGUACCACAUUGUAGCCUUGAAAACAAUUUUCAGUGACUAGUUAGCAGUGAUCAAAGUUACACACUUCAACUGUACUGAACAAUGAAUAGAUAAAUAUAUGAUAUAUAUAUAUAUAUCUAAAUAUAAUGGAUAUACUUGGCCACAGAGGUCAAACUUGUCACACGUCUUGUCUGCAUUAAGUAAAGAACAUAUUCCUUAUAAUCUCUUUAUAAUGAAAAGAAAAUAAUGCUACUUAUAUCACAAAAUGUGCGUAACAAUGACUCAGUUUUGUCUGACCUGUGUUUAUAUUCCUGUCUCUGUAAUAUUUAAGCUCUGUGGCUUCUUAUUUAAUGCUGUUUCCAUCAGCUGUAACAGAGCAGAGCCAGAUGUUGCUGUGUACUUUCUCAUGUGUUUUAUUGAAAGUGUAUUGAUGUGAUGGAUUUUCCUUUGAUAGUUGAGUCUGUGGAAAACUAUGGAAGAAAUUAAAGCACCUCAAUAAAAACUUCAUAAACCAAGACAUAAAGUUGCAUAAAGACAUACAAUGCACAGUAUUAUAUCAGUUUCUUUCGUAUGCACGCAUUGUACUGUCACAGCCACAGCUUAAGGCUGUGGACUGUGGUAGUGCUUCCUGCUCUCUCUCUCUCCUAGGUGUGUUCAUGGUGAAGCUAGCAGCAGGUGUGCUGCAUCGUAAUCAGCAGACGAGCUGCAGGUGGAGCUGAGUGACUGGUCUCUGAGUGUCUCUAUAAAAGCAGAUUGCACCCAUCAUUCGAAGCUGGACCAUCGUCUGAUCUCCAAAAGCUGAUUCCUGUCUGCUGAGUUGCCUGGGUUCCUUCGUCUGUUGGUUUCCGCCCAACCACAGAUUCUGCCUUCUUCUCCGGAGGAUCUCCACCUGUUGCCAGCUUAACCUGGGAACAUCAACGUACACCUGGAAAGAGGAGUUUCUCUGGAAACAUCUGCCACGACCAGGUUCUACUGAUACCAACUUACCAAGCACAUGGCGAACACUGGGAGGGAGAGUUCUGGAUGAAGUCAAGCCAAAAGGACUGUUCUCAGCUCAUCAGUUAAGUCUCCAAGCCCUAGUAUCACCAGACUCUUUGUAUUGUUAAUACGUUGAUUUAAAUAGUCAGCGUUCCGUAUUUAACUUAAUGUAUUUUAUGCUUUGCAUUGGAUAGCUUUAGUCUGGGGUUUCAGCUCAUAAUUACUGGUAGUCUAGGCUGGGUUAGUUUUGUAUUUUCAGUUGUUUCCCUACCUUGGUGUUACCAUACGUGGGUUAACCUUAGUUUCAGUUUCCAUGUUCAUGUAGUUAUUCCUCCAUACCUUUAGAUGGUUUUUGUUUUUGAGUUCUAGUAGUAGUUUAGUUCUUCUUUGUCUAAGAUUCUAGUUCCGGUUCCUGUAUAGCGUUUCUUGUUGUGAAUAAAAGCAUUUUUAAAAUGUU